CAGCCGCCACGGGAAUACGAAGGGUGCAAGCGUUACUCGGAAUUACUGGGCGUGAAGCGUGCGUAGGUGGUGGUUUAAGUCCGUUGUGAAAGCCCUGGGCUCAACCUGGGAAUUGCAGUGGAUACUGGGUCACUAGAGUGUGGUAGAGGAUAGUGGAAUUUCCGGUGUAGCAGUGAAAUGCGUAGAGAUCAGGAGGAACAUCAGUGGCGAAGGCGGCCAUCUGGGACAACACUGACGCUGAGGCACGAAAGCGUGGGGAGCAAACAGGAUUAGAUACCCCCGUAGUCCCUGUCUCUUAUAC
rnacentral:rRNA from 1 species